CCUACGGGAGGCAGCAGUAGGGAAUAUUGCUCAAUGGGGGAAACCCUGAAGCAGCAACGCCGCGUGGAGGAUGAAGGUUUUCGGAUUGUUAACUCCUUUUGUUAGAGAAGAUAAUGACGGUAUCUAACGAAUAAGCACCGGCUAAUUCCGGUCCAGCAGCGCCGGCAAUACGGAGGGUGCAAGCGUAAUUCGGAGUCACUGGGCGUAAAGGGGGUGUAGGUGGGAUAACAAGUCAGAUGUGAAAUCCUGAGGCUUAACAAUAGAACUGCAUUUAAUACUGUUGGACUAGAGAAUGGAAGGGGUAGGUGGAAUGCUUGGUGUAGGGGUGAAAUGCGUAGAGAUCACACGGAAUACUGAUUGCGAAGGCGGCCUGCUAGAACGGAUCUGACGCUGAUGCGCGAAAGCGUGGGGAGCGAACAGGAUUAGAUACCCGAGUAGUC
rnacentral:rRNA from 1 species